CCUACGGGCGGCAGCAGUGAGGGAUAUUGCACAAUGGAGGAAACCCUGAUGCAGCGACGCCGCGUGGAGGAAGAAUCGCCUCGGCGCGGAAAGCCCUGUCAGCAGGGAAGAAAAUGACGGUACCUGAAGAAGAAGCCCCGGCUAACUACGAGCCAGCAGCCGCGGUACUACGUAGGGGGCAAGCGUAAUCCGGAUUUACUGGGUGUAAAGGGGGCGCAGACGGCGAUGCAAGCCAGGAGUGAAAGCCCGGGGCCCAACCCCGGGACUGCUCUUGGAACUGCGUGGCUGGAGUGCAGGAGGGGUAGGCGGAAUUCCUGGUGUAGCGGUGAAAUGCGUAGAUAUCAGGAGGAACACCGGUGGCGAAGGCGGCCUGCUGGACUGCAACUGACGUUGAGGCCCGAAAGCGUGGGGAGCAAACAGGAUUAGAUACCCGUGUAGUC
rnacentral:rRNA from 1 species